rnacentral:rRNA from 1 species
GACGUAGGGCGCGAGCGUUGUCCGGAUUUAUUGGGCGUAAAGAGCUCGUAGGCGGCUUGUCGCGUCGAUCGUGAAAACUUGGGGCUCAACCCCAAGCCUGCGGUCGAUACGGGCAGGCUCGAGUUCGGUAGGGGAGACUGGAAUUCCUGGUGUAGCGGUGAAAUGCGCAGAUAUCAGGAGGAACACCGGUGGCGAAGGCGGUUCUCUGGGCCUUACCUGACGCUGAGGAGCGAAAGCGUGGGUAGCAAACAGG